ACGCUCGACACCUACGGAGGCAGCAGUGGGGAAUAUUGGGCAAUGGGCGCAAGCCUGACCCAGCAAUGCCGCGUGAAGGAAGAAGGCUUUCGGGUUGUAAACUUCUUUUGUCAGGGAAGAGUAGAAGACGGUACCUGACGAAUAAGCCACGGCUAACUACGUGCCUGCAGCCGCGGUAAUCUGAGCGGGCUGGCAAGGC
rnacentral:rRNA from 1 species